UGCCGGUCCCCUCGCGACGCAAGACCGUAAACUCCGUCAGGCCCGGAAGGGAGCAGCGGUAGCGGUGACUGCGGGUGCCGGGGUGUGGCUGGCAAGG
rnacentral:SRP_RNA from 1 species